rnacentral:rRNA from 1 species
CGGCGAGUGAAGCGGCAACAGCUCAAAUUUGAAAGCUAGCCUUCGGGUUCGCAUUGUAAUUUGUAGAGGAUGAUUUGGGGAAGCCGCCUGUCUAAGUUCCUUGGAACAGGACGUCAUAGAGGGUGAGAAUCCCGUAUGUGACAGGAAAUGGCACCCUAUGUAAAUCUCCUUCGACGAGUCGAGUUGUUUGGGAAUGCAGCUCUAAAUGGGAGGUAAAUUUCUUCUAAAGCUAAAUAUUGGCGAGAGACCGAUAGCGCACAAGUAGAGUGAUCGAAAGAUGAAAAGCACUUUGGAAAGAGAGUUAAAAAGCACGUGAAAUUGUUGAAAGGGAAGCGCUCGCAAUCAGACUUGUUUAAACUGUUCGGCCGGUCUUCUGACCGGUUUACUCAGUUUGGACAGGCCAGCAUCAGUUUCGGCGGCCGGAUAAAGGCUCUGGGAAUGUGGCCUCCACUUCGGUGGAGGUGUUAUAGCCCAGGGUGUAAUACGGCCAGCCGGGACUGA